rnacentral:rRNA from 1 species
UGGGGAAUAUUGCACAAUGGGCGCAAGCCUGAUGCAGCCAUGCCGCGUGUAUGAAGAAGGCCUUCGGGUUGUAAAGUACUUUCAGCGGGGAGGAAGGGAGUAAAGUUAAUACCUUUGCUCAUUGACGUUACCCGCAGAAGAAGCACCGGCUAACUCCGUGCCAGCAGCCGCGGUAAUACGGAGGGUGCAAGCGUUAAUCGGAAUUACUGGGCGUAAAGCUCACGCAGGCGGUUUGUUAAGUCAGAUGUGAAAUCCCCGGGCUCAACCUGGGAACUGCAUCUGAUACUGGCAAGCUUGAGUCUCGUAGAGGGGGGUAGAAUUCCAGGUGUAGCGGUGAAAUGCGUAGAGAUCUGGAGGAAUACCGGUGGCGAAGGCGGCCCCCUGGACGAAGACUGACGCUCAGGUGCGAAAGCGUGGGGAGCAAACAGG